CAAUAGCCCUGAUGGAAGCGGCAUCCUCGAAGCGUAGCGCAGAGAUACAGCGGACAGCAGGACGAUUC
rnacentral:sRNA from 1 species